AACGUACGCUGGCGGCACGCCUAACACAUGCAAGUCGAACGCAGUAGCAAUACUGAGUGGCAAACGGGUGAGUAUAAUGUGGGAAUCUGCCUUUUGGUUCGGAAUAACACGAGGAAACUUGUGCUAAUACCGGAUAAGCCCUUACGGGGAAAGUUUUAAUGCCAAAAGAUGAGCCCGCACUUGAUUAGCUAGUUGGUAAGGUAAUGGCUUACCAAGGCAACGAUCAAUAGCUGUUCUUAGAGGAAGACCAGCCACAUUGGGACUGAGACACGGCCCAAACUCCUACGGGAGGCAGCAGUGGGGAAUCUUGCACAAUGGGGGAAACCCUGAUGCAGCGAUGCCGCGUGAGUGAAGAAGGCCCUUGGGUUGUAAAACUCUUUCGUCGGGGAAGAAAAUGACUGUACCCGAAUAAGAAGGUCCGGCUAACUUCGUGCCAGCAGCCGCGGUAAUACGAAGGGACCUAGCGUAGUUCGGAAUUACUGGGCUUAAAGAGUUCGUAGGUGGUUAAAAAAGUUGAUGGUGAAAUCCCAAGGCUCAACCUUGGAACUGCCAUCAAAACUUUUUAGCUAGAGUGUGAUAGAGGAAAGUGGAAUUUCUAGUGUAGAGGUGAAAUUCGUAGAUAUUAGAAAGAACAUCAAAAGCGAAGGCAACUUUCUGGAUCAUUACUGACACUGAGGAACGAAAGCAUGGGUAGCGAAGAGGAUUAGAUACCCUCGUAGUCCAUGCCGUAAACGAUGUGUGCUAGACGUUGGAAACUUAGUUUUCAGUGUCGCAGCGAAAGCAUUAAGCACACCGCCUGGGGAGUACGACCGCAAGGUUAAAACUCAAAUGAAUUGACGG
rnacentral:rRNA from 1 species